AGUGAACGCUGGCGGUAGGCCUAACACAUGCAAGUCGAACGGCAGCACAGUAAGAGCUUGCUCUUACGGGUGGCGAGUGGCGGACGGGUGAGGAAUACAUCGGAAUCUACUUUUUCGUGGGGGAUAACGUAGGGAAACUUACGCUAAUACCGCAUACGACCUACGGGUGAAAGCAGGGGAUCUUCGGACCUUGCGCGAUUGAAUGAGCCGAUGUCGGAUUAGCUAGUUGGCGGGGUAAAGGCCCACCAAGGCGACGAUCCGUAGCAGGUCUGAGAGGAUGAUCAGCCACACUGGAACUGAGACACGGUCCAGACUCCUACGGGAGGCAGCAGUGGGGAAUAUUGGACAAUGGGCGCAAGCCUGAUCCAGCCAUACCGCGUGGGUGAAGAGGGCCUUCGGGUUGUAAAGCCCUUUUGUUGGGAAAGAAAAGCAGCAGGUUAAUACCCCGCUGUUCUGACGGUACCCAAAGAAUAAGCACCGGCUAACUUCGUG
rnacentral:rRNA from 1 species